rnacentral:rRNA from 1 species
CAGCCGCCGCGGGAAUACGGAGGGAGCUAGCGUUGUUCGGAAUUACUGGGCGUAAAGCGCACGUAGGCGGAUCGAUCAGUCAGGGGUGAAAUCCCAGAGCUCAACUCUGGAACUGCCUUUGAUACUGUCGAUCUGGAGUAUGGAAGAGGUGAGUGGAAUUCCGAGUGUAGAGGUGAAAUUCGUAGAUAUUCGGAGGAACACCAGUGGCGAAGGCGGCUCACUGGUCCAUUACUGACGCUGAGGUGCGAAAGCGUGGGGAGCAAACAGGAUUAGAUACCCCAGUAGUCCCUGUCUCUUAUAC